rnacentral:lncRNA from 1 species
CCUUUCUUAUUUGGGGUGGUUCGAGCUUGCCCUAGAAUCAUCCCCUCUUCUCCAAAUCAGUGAUUUAACUCCUCAAAUCCUUGCCUUUUUCCUUCCAAAAUCCUUUCCUCUCUGCCUCACAUUUAGUCUCCUAAGCUCCUUUCAAGUCUCUCUUGACCUAAUGGCUCCCAAAAUGAAGCUACCGCAAAGAAAAAAAUUUGUUCGUGGGUUGGAAGAUAGUGUGCACAGAAAGAGAUUAGCAACCGAGCCCUCUCCUGCUCCAAUCUCUGCUCCAGGUCCUGCUUCAGCUUCCACUCAGUCUCCAAUCAGCCCAAGCAAGGUACUUCUCUCUGACC